rnacentral:tRNA from 1 species
UGCCAUGAAAGCCAUGCUGGCAUGGCUGCGCAAAAAUCGCCGGUUUGAACCUGUUAUCCUGAUCGACGACAUCUCGCGCCUCGCA